rnacentral:rRNA from 1 species
CAAGCCGGUCAUAGCGUCGGGGUCCGACCCGAUCCCAUUCCGAACUCGGAAGUCAAACCCGAUGUCGCCACUGUGUUACUUAGGUGCGAGAGCCCUUGGGAAGUA